GGACCAGACUCCUACGGGAGGCAGCAGUGGGGGAUAUUGCACAAUGGGGGGAACCCUGAUGCAGCGACGCCGCGUGGGCGAUGGAGUGCUUCGGCAUGUAAAGCCCUAUCAGCAGGGAAGAAAAUGACGGUACCUGACUAAGAAGCCCCGGCUAACUACGUGCCAGCAGCCGCGGGAAUACGUAGGGGGCAAGCGUUAUCCGGAUUUACUGGGUGUAAAGGGAGCGUAGACGGUGCAGCAAGUCUGAUGUGAAAGGUCGGGGCCCAACCCCGGGACUGCAUUGGAAACUGUUGAACUGGAGUACAGGAGAGGUAAGCGGAAUUCCUAGUGUAGCGGUGAAAUGCGUAGAUAUUAGGAGGAACGCCAGUGGCGAAGGCGGCUUACUGGACUGUAACUGACGUUGAGGCUCGAAAGCGUGGGGAGCAAACAGGAUUAGAUACCCCAGUAG
rnacentral:rRNA from 1 species